CAGCAGCCGCGGGAAUACGGAGGGAGCUAGCGUUGUUCGGAAUUACUGGGCGUAAAGCGCGCGUAGGCGGUUACUCAAGUCAGAGGUGAAAGCCCGGGGCUCAACCCCGGAACUGCCUUUGAAACUAGGUGACUAGAAUCUUGGAGAGGUCAGUGGAAUUCCGAGUGUAGAGGUGAAAUUCGUAGAUAUUCGGAAGAACACCAGUGGCGAAGGCGACUGACUGGACAAGUAUUGACGCUGAGGUGCGAAAGCGUGGGGAGCAAACAGGAUUAGAUACCCCUGUAGUCCCUGUCUCUUAUAA
rnacentral:rRNA from 1 species